UAAAGGUUGAAUUGAAUAAUUUAGUGCAAAGAAAUGAUUGGUAGGAGUAAAUCUUUAAAUGAUCUUGGAUCUACACAGUCAAAUGGCAGCUUUAACCAGCUUGUAUCUGUAAAAGCACCCAAAUCAAGGAACCAAGCAACAGUUUGCACUGGUUGGAUCAGUUAUAAUUAACAAUUUGCAUCUUAUAUACCGGUAUAGGAUUCACAUUUGCAUGGUUGCAGUUCCUGUACAGGUUAAUUACUUGAUCACUGAAGUAUCCAAAAGAAUCAAAUUUCAUAUCACACCAGAACAAAGGGAUAAAGUGGGGAAAAGACAUCGAGUCUCUUAUGGCCAAGAACUCAAAAGAACAAAGAUUAUAUGUUGGUGACUGUGCCCAAUGGAGUUAAUGGUGAAAGUUGGAAAGUUGAUGAUUUUUU